CUACGGGAUGCAGCAGUGAGGAAUAUUGCACAAUGGGGGGAACCCUGAUGCAGCAACGCCGCGUGGAGGAUGACGCAUUUCGGUGUGUAAACUCCUUUUAUAUGUCAAGAAAAUGACGGUAGCAUAUGAAUAAGCACCGGCUAACUCCGUGCCAGCAGGCCGCGGUAAUACGGAGGGUGCAAGCGUUACGCGGAAUCACUGGGCGUAAAGGACGCGUAGGCGGGUUGGAAAGUCAGGUGUGAAAUCCUACAGCUUAACUGUAGAACUGCACUUGAAACUUCUAAUCUAGAGUAUGGGAGGGGGAGAUGGAAUUAGUGGUGUAGGGGUAAAAUCCGUAGAUAUUACUAGGAAUACCUAAAGCGAAGGCGAUCUCCUGGAACAUUACUGACGCUAAGGCGUGAAAGCGUGGGGAGCAAACAGGAUUAGAUACCCCCGUAGUC
rnacentral:rRNA from 1 species